GCAGAAGGUACUAAUUUAGAGAGUAUUCUCCAACUGUUGUUUGUGUAUGCAGUAUGCACCACAAAAAUGUGAUUUUUCAUUAAACUUUUACCACACGCAUAGAUGUCCUUGACUUAAUCUAAGGAAAAGUUAUAUAUUCAGAUUUCUGAGCAAGGAUAUGGAAGUGCACCAAAUGGGGGUGUUCAGGCCACACAUACAAUCAGCAAUGGAUAUGACCUACAUGCACCGAUCAAUCUCCAGCUAAGCCAGCCACAAACACAGAAGAAUGGGACAUCAACAAGUGUCAUGCAGCUUGGGUAAAUUCCUAUCAGAAGAAUUAGUCAUGCUUUAAACUCUAGCUUCUCCCCCACUCCCAUACUUUGAUCCCUACCUCAGAGAGCAAUAGAGAAAACGUGACAUUAACUCCACCACUAUUACUUUUAAAACAGGCUACAACUGCACUACACAGAAGAACGAUAGUCGUCUGUUUUCUCAACUAGACCUACAUCUAAAGACACUUCUAUGAAUCCCAUUCUUGAUCAAGCUAGAAGGAAAAAGUUCAUCAAGCCUGAGAAGACUAUGCUCUGCAGAUAUGUUGGAGAGUUUUAUGAUUUAUGUGAAGAUGCAGAAGUUAUCUAUGUAAAGUAAUUUAACUUAAAUUAGGAAUAAAACAUGGGGAUUAUCACUUGUGACUUGUCAAGGUUUGCUUCAGUAAAUGUGUUGAAUGAAAAUGGUUGUAGAUUAAUACCUGUGAUUGGUGCCCAUACAGGAUGACUCAAAUAAGAUUUGGUUUCAUGGAACUAUACAAGGCUGCAUCAAACUUGGAAGAAAUUUAUUUUGAGUUCCAUGGCUUAAUUUCCCGUUUGUGCUAAAGAGCCCCCUUUACAAGAAUUGACUCCAGAAAUUUGAACUCAAUAUUGUAAGAUCCUAAGGUUUUUUGUGAGAAUGCUCAUCCUACAGCUUAAUUAAGAUGAUGAUUGCAAACUAAGAAGGCUUCUAUACACUCCCUUUUUCACUAGUAAUGCACUACCCUGCAAACUAUAACAUAAAGGUGACACAACUAUAGCAUAUUGACGAAAUUCGAUCAGUGAACCAAACUAUGCUGUCAAACCAAUCGAAAUAGGGAAAAAAACUGAAAAUGCAAAAUCUGACCAUAUAAAAAUCUAACAUUAGGAUCAUUUUAAAAGUAUUCAUGAACAUGUUUCUAUUGUUAUAAGGACUGACAGUUCCUA
rnacentral:misc_RNA from 1 species